GACCGGCGCACGGGUGAGUAACACGUAUGCAACCUGCCUGCAACAGGGGGAUAGCCCGGAGAAAUCCGGAUUAAUACCGCAUAAAACAGGGAUUCCGCAUGGAAAUAUUUGUUAAAGAUUUAUCGGUUGUAGAUGGGCAUGCGUUCCAUUAGGUAGUUGGUAAGGUAACGGCUUACCAAGCCAUCGAUGGAUAGGGGAACUGAGAGGUUUAUCCCCCACACUGGUACUGAGACACGGACCAG
rnacentral:rRNA from 1 species